rnacentral:rRNA from 1 species
AUCUACAGCCAUACCACCCUGAACAGGCUGAUCUUGUCUCAUGUCAGAAGCUAAGCAGGGUUGGACUUGGUUAGUACUUGGAUGGGAAACUGCCUGGGAAUAAUACUGGGUGCUAGUAGGCU